rnacentral:lncRNA from 1 species
UUUUUACUAUUAUUAUUAUUUAAAAUUGUCCAAGCUGCUCUGCAACCGUCGGACAACAGUAUAAUUCUGUAAGCCUGGAACCUGUACAGACUGCAUGGUACAGGUUUGGUGAAGAAGUUCGACCAGUACUUGGGAGAAAUGUUUCCCGAACCUGGUUAGAAGACGACAUUGUGGUUCACCUUCAACUUGAGUUUGCGGAGGUUACUGAUGAGGACUCUGGAGAAUACACCUGCAAGAUGGAGAAUCAGUAUGGUUUUAUUGAAAAAACUGUUACUUUGAAAAUUAUAAAUGGAACAAAGGAAAUGUACAAAACCCAGGUGGCAAGACAGGAGUUUGUGUCUCUAAUUCAACAACAGUUUAAGAUAUAUUCAAGUAUUACUAGG